rnacentral:tRNA from 1 species
AUUUAUAUAGUAUAAAUAAUUACAAUUGAUUUCCAAUCAAAAGAUCUAUUAAUAGUAUAAAUA